UCGGAAUUACUGGGCGUAAAGGGCUCGUAGGCGGCCAACUAAGUCGGAUGUGAAAUCCCCAAGCUUAACUUGGGAACUGCAUCCGAUACUGGAUGGCUUGAAUCCGGGAGAGGGAUGCAGAAUUCCAGGUGUAGCGGUGAAAUGCGUAGAUAUCUGGAGGAAUACCGGUGGCGAAGGCGGCAUCCUGGACCGGCAUUGACGCUGAGGAGCGAAAGCGUGGGGAGCGAACAGG
rnacentral:rRNA from 1 species